rnacentral:rRNA from 1 species
GACUGACCGAUAGUGAACCAGUACCGUGAGGGAAAGGCGAAAAGAACCCCGGCGAGGGGAGUGAAAAAGAACCUGAAACCGUGUACGUACAAGCAGUGGGAGCCCCACCACCAAAGCAUUUGCUGUACCGCGUUGACGGAGCGAAGCGACGUCAAACCGAUAAAACAGCAGUGUAAAGUGAGCCGCAGGGCGCUUUGCGCGACAGCGCAAAGGCAGGCGGUUUCGCGUAGCGAAAGCGAAUGCUUUGGGGUGGGGUGACUGCGUACCUUUUGUAUAAUGGGUCAGCGACUUAUAUUCUGUAGCAAGGUUAACCGAAUAGGGGAGCCGGAGGGAAACCGAGUCUUAAUUGGGCGUUAAGUUGCAGGGUAUAGACCCGAAACCCGGUGAUCUAGCCAUGGGCAGGUUGAAGGUUGGGUAACACUAACUGGAGGACCGAACCGACUAAUGUUGAAAAAUUAGCGGAUGACCUGUGGCUGGGGGUGAAAGGCCAAUCAAACCGGGAGAUAGCUGGUUCUCCCCGAAAGCUAUUUAGGUAGCGCCUCGUGAAUUCAUCUCCGGGGGUAGAGCACUGUUUCGGCUAGGGGGCCAUCCCGGCUUACCAACCCGAUGCAAACUGCGAAUACCGGAGAAUGUUAUCACGGGAGACACACGGCGGGUGCUAACGUCCGUCGUGAAGAGGGAAACAACCCAGACCGCCAGCUAAGGUCCCAAAGUCAUGGUUAAGUGGGAAACGAUGUGGGAAGGCCCAGACAGCCAGGAUGUUGGCUUAGAAGCAGCCAUCAUUUAAAGAAAGCGUAAUAGCUCACUGGUCGAGUCGGCCUGCGCGGAAGAUGUAACGGGGCUAAACCAUG